UAGUCUUAUUUCUGUUCAACGUUUGAGUGGCUGUUGGCAAGGCUGGCGUCCCAGGGUCUGGACUGGAAUUUCACCUAUCAGUGAAAUCACAUGGUAUCUCCUGCUUCUCCUGCUUCCAAGUCUCACUGCGGUGUCCUUUCAUCUCCAUAGCCUCUGAAUGUCGGCUACCUGAAGAAAUGAAGAUUUUGGGGAUGCCUCGGUGGCUCAGUUGGUUAAGCAGCUGCCUUCGGCUCAGGUCAUGAUCCCAGCGUCCUGGGAUGGAGUCCCACAUCGGGCUCCUUGCUCGGCAGGGAGCCUGCUUCUCCCUCUGACCCUGCCUGCCACCCUGUCUUCCUGUGCUCACUCUCAU